rnacentral:rRNA from 1 species
UACGAAGGGGGCUAGCGUUGCUCGGAAUUAUUGGGCGUAAAGCGCACGUAGGCGGUUUGGUAAGUCGGAUGUGAAAGCCCUCGGCUCAACCGAGGAAGUGCAUUCGAAACUGCCAGACUUGAGUAUGGAAGAGGGUCGCGGAAUUCCCGGUGUAGAGGUGAAAUCGUAGAUAUCGGGAGGAACACCAGUGGCGAAGGCGGCGACCUGGGCCAAUACUGACGCUGAGGUGCGAAAGCGUGG